rnacentral:lncRNA from 1 species
CUUCAACUCCGCCACCAACACUGCACCAAACUCAUUCCUCAGCUCAUCUCCGCCAUCUCCUCCGCCCACUCUUUCCUCCUCCGCCAUGACCUCAGCCUCCUCCCCCACCAAUCCCUUUCCCUCGAAUCCCUCAUCUCCUCCACCUCUACCUCCAUUUCGACCAUCUUCUCACUCCUCAACCUCCCCCCUCCUCCCCCACCACCCUCACGCGCCACCCUAGCUUCUCCACCAACCGACCCAACUUCGCCACGCGCCGCCGAGUGCUGGUUCCAGCGAUUUCUGGCGGCUGAUUCGGACACCCUUUGGGCCGAAAAUUUCAAUAUCACGAAGCCCUCUUUCACUCUCCUGCUCCGCCUUCUCACGCCUUCUCUUUC